AGAGUUUGAUCAUGGCUCAGGAUGAACGCUAGCUACAGGCUUAACACAUGCAAGUCGAGGGGCAGCAUCAUCAAAGCUUGCUUUGAUGGAUGGCGACCGGCGCACGGGUGAGUAACACGUAUCCAACCUGCCGACAACACUGGGAUAGCCUUUCGAAAGAAAGAUUAAUACCGGAUGGCAUAAUUAUUCCGCAUGGGAUAAUUAUUAAAGAAUUUCGGUUGUCGAUGGGGAUGCGUUCCAUUAGGCAGUUGGCGGGGUAACGGCCCACCAAACCUACGAUGGAUAGGGGUUCUGAGAGGAAGGUCCCCCACAUUGGAGCUGAGACACGGUCCAAACUCCCACGGGAGGCAGCAGUGAGGAAUAUUGGUCAAUGGACGAGAGUCUGAACCAGCCAAGUAGCGUGAAGGAUGACUGCCCUAUGGGUUGUAAACUUCUUUUAUACGGGAAUAAAGUGAGCCACGUGUGGCUUUUUGUAUGUACCGUAUGAAUAAGGAUCGGCUAACUCCGUGCCAGCAGCCGCGGUAAUACGGAGGAUCCGAGCGUUAUCCGGAUUUAUUGGGUUUAAAGGGAGCGUA
rnacentral:rRNA from 1 species